CUCACAUAGACAACCUCUCAUAUCAAAAAGGCGUCCCGCUUACUUCAAACCACGAAGAAAGCACUACCGAGAUUGCAACAUCAUGCUCUGGAAGCUACUACCCAGAAAGGGAAAUUUUCAUCAUCACAGCACCAAACAACAAUGCGGGUACCAGCCAACAGAGAACUCCUCGACGGGUUGCACAACCCUUCUUCAAGCUACUCAAACACCAGGACAAGUUUCAAUGGACAGAGGAGGCAGACAAAGCCUUGACACAACUCAUGGACUUCUUUUCCUAACCACCAAUCCUCA
rnacentral:lncRNA from 1 species